UACGUAGGUUGCGAGCGUUGUCCGGAUUUAUUGGGUUUAAAGGGUGCGUAGGCGGCUUUGUAAGUCAGUGGUGAAAUACUCCAGCUUAACUGGAGGGGUGCCAUUGAUACUGCGGAGCUUGAGUACAGAUGAGGUAGGCGGAAUUGACGGUGUAGCGGUGAAAUGCAUAGAUAUCGUCAAGAACACCGAUAGCGAAGGCAGCUUACUGGGCUGUAACUGACGCUGAUGCACGAAAGUGUGGGGAUCAAACAGG
rnacentral:rRNA from 1 species